UGGUAACCAACUAUCCUCCAAAUCUGACCAGUUUUUUGACUUAAAUUUUUGUUUAUUUCUUAAACGACACUCCAUAUCCAGUGGGAGUUGGCAGGAGGCUCUGCUCCACAGCGUGCUCUAUUUGGGACCCCUGAAUUGCAAGAGUCUUCUUUUAGUACCUGACAGUCACCACACAAAGACAAGGACAAGGUUGAACCAUGACCUCUGUCUUCAACUUCGAUCAGGACAUCACUUCCAUCUCAGUGGCAAAUCUAACUUCAUUUCUUGCAGGAAUGCAAUUCCACCCCCGAGAGGAGAGGCAGCAAAAAUGAGUUGUCUUGGACCUCUGACCUCACUUGAAGAUGCCUUUCUUUUGGAUCUGCCCUAUAUAUUGACCCACAAGUUCAAGACCUGAGAGAUAUCUGCAGGCUCUUUUAUAGCAGAAUGAUGGGACUCCUGCAAUGGGGGAAUUUGCAAAAAGCAAUGACUUCAGACACGGUGCACUUCACUGAAAUGUGAAGUACAAGAAGUUCUUGCAAAUGAUGGAACCAUUUCUUCCCUGACAUCGGACAUACUUCGUCUGUUACCUAAUUUACCAUCUAUCCACGUCCUCGCUACAAUUUCUUAUUCAGAAUUCUGUGACCUGCCAUUGUUUUGGGA